CUAUUUAUCUUUAUCUUCAUCCUCACUCCCCAGUAAUCAUCAAUUUCUGAUUGCACAUGUACGAGACAGAAGGGGAAAGACAUGGGAUAGGGAAGACGGCGAUGAUAGCGAAUUUGGUUACAAAGCGAUGAUGAUGAUGAUGGAGAUGGCUACAAUAAGGUUCAGUGGUUAGCGGCGGCGGCGGCGGUUAGGGUUCCGCCAUGAAACAUGGUAUCGGCGGUGUUUUCUUUACCAGAAUCGCUAUCGGGUGGGCAAAGUUCCAACACAAGAGGCUGAGAAAGCUAGGUCGGUGGCCUCACUGGCGGCGAUGCGGGUGUCUCUCCGUCGCCUAUCCCCGGUUAUUAUGCCCCGAGGUUUAACCUAGGGUUCCGCCGGCUAUGCUUCUUCUCCGGUAAUUAUCAGUCGAUGGUUGUGGGGUUUUUACGCCGGACUUCGGCGUGAUUCUUCUUUGCCUUCAACAUGAUAGUGAUCAGGCUAAUUGCAUGUGAGGGGACACGAACCGAGCAACCUGUACGUGACCUGGAAUCAUUUAAGUUGAAGGUAUUGCAUUAAUGCAGCCAUCACUGAAGGCACCCCAGAUGUCAACGUUGUUCUUUCCGAUGAAGCGAUGAAUGGUUUUGCAAUCUCUACUAUAGAUAUGAGUCAAAUGUACUUUAGGGACUUCCCUAUUAUUAAUAUCAAUGGGGCCAAAUGUUUUUAUCUUAACUAGAACCGGGUAUGUUUGCUCCUUUUAAAAUUGUUUUCCUCAUGUCCUUGAUGGCAUAGCAAUUAAACGAGUUAAGCUUUUUUCAACGAGCACAGGCCAACAUGGUCUUUGUUUGUAUUUUUGAAAAGUUCAAAUAUUCUGAUUGCUAAAGUUUAGUA